UACGGAGGGUGCGAGCGUUAUCCGGAAUUACUGGGUUUAAAGGGUGCGUAGGCGGCUAUGUAGGUCAGGAGUGAAAGUUUGCGGCUCAACCGUAAAAUUGCUUUUGAUACUGCAUGGCUAGAAUUAGGAUGAGGUCAGCGGAAUGUGGCAUGUAGCGGUGAAAUGCAUAGAUAUGCCAUAGAACACCAAUUGCGAAGGCAGCUGGCUAGACCUGGAUUGACGCUGAGGCACGAAAGCGUGGGGAGCGAACAGG
rnacentral:rRNA from 1 species